UAGAUUUUUCUGCUAUAGUUGUAGAAUUUAGGCUGUAGAAUUAAAUGAAAGCAUGAUUGGUAAAAAUAGCUGUGACUUUUUUAAAGUGAAAACAUGAGAUAAAUAUUAGGUAUAUAUUUUGAUUUUUCUUUUUAAUUUUUACUACUAAACAAAAAAAACACCAUCUAUAUGGCUGUGGAAAGACUCUAAAGACACAACCAAUCAGGCCCUUAGUUAGAUAAGCAAAAAACUAGAAUCACUGGAGAACCUUGUCUUUAUGGCAAAAUUUAAGGAGAUGUACUAAAAAUAGACAUAUGUAACUUUCGUUAUAAAUACUUGUAAGCUUUGUUCAUUUUUAUUAAACUUUUAAAACAUCAUCAAUUCUUCCAUAGCAAAUGAGGAGUAAACGCAAUCCUCUCUCGGCCACUAUUAUCACUAUCUUCACCAUCCUUGCUAUAGGGGUAAUGGAAACAAUGGGGCAGAAAUUGUGUUUUGAAGUUCUACCAAAUACAUAUGGGGUAUCUUUGAGUUCAUCAACAUGUGUCAUUCAAUGGUGUGCCACUCAAUGUAAGAGGAAAGAAGCUAAUGGGAUCGGUACAUGCAAGCCAAGGCCCAAUCAAGAGAAAGUACAAUAUAGAAAACUGAAAGAAGAAUGUCACUGCGUUUAUAAAUGUUCAUAAAACUAUAUUAGAUGGUGAACAUUAAAUCACAUAUUUGUUUACUAUUUUAUAAGAAAUCGUAAUAAUUAUAU